ACGAACGCUGGCGGCGUGCUUAACCCAUGCAAGUCGCACGGAAAGGACCUGCUUUUGUGGGGUGCUCGAGUGGCGAAUGGGUGAGUAACACGUGAGUAACCUGCCCUUGAUUUUGGGAUAACUUUAGGAAAGUGGGGCUAAUACCGGUUAGGAGCUCCUGCUGCAUGGUGGGGGUUGGAAAGUUUCGGCGGUUGGGGAUGGACUCGCGGCUUAUCAGCUUGUUGGUGGGGUAGUGGCUUACCACGGCUUUGACGGGUAGCCGGCCUGAGAGGGUGACCGGGCACAAUGGGACUGAGAGACGGCCCAGACGCCAACGGGAGACAACGGUGGGGAAUAUGGCACAGUGAGCGGGAGCCUGAUGCAGCGACGCCGCGUUCGUGAUGACGGCCUUCUGGUUGUAAACCGCUGUCGCCUAUGACGAAGCGUGAGUGACGGUAAUGAAUAAAGAAGCACCGGCUAACUACGUG
rnacentral:rRNA from 1 species